rnacentral:rRNA from 1 species
CCUACGAGGGGCAGCAGUGAGGAAUAUUGGUCAAUGGGCGUAAGCCUGAACCAGCCAAGUCGCGUGAGGGAUGAAGGUUCUAUGGAUCGUAAACCUCUUUUAUAAGGGAAUAAAGUGCGGGACGUGUCCCGUUUUGUAUGUACCUUAUGAAUAAGGAUCGGCUAACUCCGUGCCAGCAGCCGCGGUAAUACGGAGGAUACGAGAGUUAUCCGGAUUUAUUGGGUUUAAAGGGUGCGUAGGCGGCCCUUUAAGUCAGCGGUGAAAGUCUGUGGCUCAACCAUAGAAUUGCCGUUGAAACUGGGCGGCUUGAGUAUGUUUGAGGCAGGCGGAAUGCGUGGUGUAGCGGUGAAAUGCUUAGAUAUCACGCAGAACCCCGAUUGCGAAGGCAGCCUCCCAAGCCAUGACUGACGCUGAUGCACGAAAGCGUGGGGAUCAAACAGGAUUAGAUACCCGGGUAGUC